AACGAACGUUGGCGGUGUGGAUUAGGCAUGCAAGUCGAAUGAAUGUCAGUUUUGUAGCAAUACAGAGCUGGCGGAAAUGGCGAAAGGGGCAGUAAUGCAUGGAUAACCUACCUUGGGGAUGGGCAUAGCCGGUCUAACGGCCGGGUAAUACCCAGAGAUUCAGCGAGAGGGCAUCCUCUUGCUGGGAAAUGAGUUUCGCCUCGAGAGGGGUCCAUGUGCUANAGCUAGUUGGUGGGUAACGGCCUACCAAGGCUAAGAUGGCUAGCGGGUGUGAGAGCACGACCCGCGCCACUGGCACUGAGACACUGGCCAGACACCUACGGGUGGCUGCAGUCGAGGAUCUUCGUCAAUGGGC
rnacentral:rRNA from 1 species